AUGCUUAUUUUCAGAGAUGCUUUGGAAACUUGUGGACUAAUUGAUCUGGGUUUUGCAGGUUACCCAUUCACAUAUGAUAAUAGAAGAGCAGGUUGAGCAAAUGUCCAGGUCAAGCUGGAUUGAGCAUUGGCAACAAACUCCUGGAGCGAUAUGUUUGCGGAUGCAUCGGUUAAGCACCUAGUAUUCCCUUGCUCAGAUCAUUGCCCUUUAUUAGUGUGCUGCACACCGGAUACGGCGUCAAGGCCUGUACAUUGUCGCCGUUACGAGCUCAUGAGGGAGAGCGAACCAGUUCUGGACGAGGUGGUGGCUAGUGUCUAGAGAGAAGCAGGAACCAAGAGGAACUUGCGAGAUGUUCACUUGGCACUGGGUCAGGUCAUGGGUAAGCUUCACUCAUGGAGUAAUAUUUUUUUUGGAAAUGUCACUAGAGAACUUGAAAAGUCACGGACGUGAUUUGAAGAGCUCUUAAACAUGAAUGCGGACAGAGCAGAGAUCCAGAAUGAAAUGGAUGCUAAGAAUGAAUUGUUGUACCGCGAGGAGAUGCUAUGGCUGCAACAUUCACGCAUUGCAUGGCUGAAAGGAGACCGGAAUACAAAAUUUUUCCAUCGUGAAGCUGUGUGGCGAGCUAGGAAAAACAAAAUUAAAGGUUUGAGAGAUUCUAAUGGCGUAUGGCAGCAGGAUCAGAACACUAUGUUGAAAAUGGCACAAGAAUACUUGGAGGGCAUGUUUGCAGCCGAUCCAAACGUUGAUCCGUAG
rnacentral:rRNA from 1 species